rnacentral:rRNA from 1 species
ACGAACGCUGGCGGCGUGCUUAACACAUGCAAGUCGAACGGAAAGGCCCUGCUUGCUGGGUACUCGAGUGGCGAACGGGUGAGUAACACGUGGGUGAUCUGCCCUGCACUUCGGGAUAAGCCUUGGAAACUGGGUCUAAUACCGGAUAGGAGCCAUUUUUAGUGUGAUGGUUGGAAAGUUUUUUCGGUGUAGGAUGAGCUCGCGGCCUAUCAGCUUGUUGGUGGGGUAAUGGCCUACCAAGGCGGCGACGGGUAGCCGGCCUGAGCGGGUGGACGGGCACAAUGGGACUGAGAAACGGCCCAGAAUCCUACGGGGGGGAGCAGUGGGGAAUAUUGCAAAAUGGGGGGAAGCCUGAUGCAGCGACGCCGCGUGGGGGAUGAAGGCCUUCGGGUUGUAAACUCCUUUCGCUAGGGACGAAGCUGUUUGUGACGGUACCUAGAUAAGAAGCACCGGCUAACUACGUG